UAUUUUCCAUACACAAUUACACACAACAACCCCCCCUGGAAGAAAUGAAAGUAGACUGGUGAUCUUAGUGCUAUCUGUACAGUACACAUGAGACACCAUGGAUGUGCUGUUUGCGGGUUUAUGAUGUCAAAUAUGACACAGAAUGGCGCGUGCUACUGACGCUGCAGGAACCGGGCGGAUUAUAGGACCCGUUGAUGCGCGUCAAGGUGAAUAACUAAAGUUAUGGUUUUCCGUGUGCAGCAGCGGCAGCCGUCAGAGACAAAGCAGCGAGUGUUUCCACGCGUGGAGGGUGGCCGGCUUGCUGGCUCUCCGCCCCGCAAACAAACGCAGGAGGCUUCGGUGUGGUUCGUGUAUUCCGGAAGAGGGUCUUGAGUGGGACACAUCUCAGACCAGCCGGUCCUCGCUAUCACGUCCAGCAGAGGGAAGGCUGCUUUAUUUGUCCGAACGGGACAUUUUGGAUCUCUGACACCGGAAGGGAAGAUUCGGUUGUUUGGCUCUGGUUAAUCCCAGAACAUUGCAACAGCAGCUCUUCAGGUUGAUGCUGUUGUGCGCAACGUUACUCUCCCUGCCGCCUCCACCACGCCCACCUCUCUCCCCGCCAUGGCGAUGAGCAGCGAGCCCAGCUUAGAGAGGCUAGAGUCCACUACUGAGGAACAAGCCAGCAGUCUCACGGACAUCCUGGCUGCCAUGUCCACGGAAGACCUGGGCGGUUCUGUGAGGAAUGGAGGGGCUCAGCUGGACAGGACCCAGCCCACAAGGACUCACCCGUCACGGCAUCAGUUGUCUGGAAGGAAGUUCUCUCUGCAGGAAAGAGGCACUUACCUAUCCUCCGCAGGGGGCUACACACAUGUCUCCCCCCGGGUGGCCCGAAGGCCUACAGUGGAGUCAAAACGUGUGUCCAUAUCCGACUCUCAGGAUUGUAUCCAGUUAAACCAGUAUAAAUUGAAGAGCGAGAUUGGAAAGGGCUCCUAUGGUGUGGUCAAACUUGCCUACAACGAGGACGAUGACAAACAUUAUGCCAUGAAGGUGGUUUCCAAGAAGAAGUUAAUGAAGCAGUGUGGUUUUCCACGUCGCCCACCUCCUCGAGGACCCAAGGCAGUCCAAGGAGAGCAGCCCAAAUUCUUAGCACCACUGGAAAGAGUUUACCAAGAGAUCGCCAUCCUUAAAAAACUGGACCAUGUCAACAUUGUGAAAUUAGUGGAGGUCCUGGAUGACCCCGCAGAGGACAACCUUCACAUGGUGUUCGAGCUGAUGCGCAAAGGGCCGGUGAUGGAAGUGCCGACAGACAAUCCUUUGUCAGAAGAACAGGCAAGGUUAUACCUCCGAGACGUCAUCCUGGGCAUAGAGUACUUGCACUACCAGAAGAUUGUACACCGAGACAUCAAACCUUCCAAUUUGUUGCUGGGGGAUGACGGCCAUGUGAAGAUUGCAGAUUUUGGAGUGAGCAACCAGUUUGAGGGCAAGGAUGCUAUGCUGUCGGGAACAGCUGGUACUCCUGCCUUCAUGGCACCAGAGACUUUGUCAGACAAGCGCAAGAGCUUCAGUGGGAAGGCGCUGGAUGUUUGGGCCAUGGGAGUCACUCUCUACUGUUUCAUCUUUGGAAAGUGCCCAUUUAUCGACGAGUACAUAAUGGCUUUGCACAAUAAGAUAAGGACCAGGCCUGUGGAUUUCCCAGAAACACCAAAAGUCAGUGAAGAGCUGCGGACCCUGAUCUUGCGGAUGCUGGAUAAGAACCCAGACACCCGGAUCACUAUCCCUGAAAUCAAGGUGGACCAGUGGGUGACUCGGGGGGGCACCGAGCCCCUACCUCUGGAGGAGGAGCACUGCACUGCGGUGGAGGUGACCGAGGAGGACAUCAAGAACUCAGUCAAGUUUGUUCCCAGCCUCUCUGCUGUGAUCUUGGUAAAAGCCAUGUUGAGGAAACGUUCCUUCAGUAACCCGUUUGAGUGUCCAAGCCGCAGGGAGGAGAGAUCCAUGUCUGCACCAGGCAGCCUGCUCAUGGACUCUUGGCCUUUCCGGCCCUCUUUAAAACUCCACCCCUCACUCAGGUAACGCUAUGUGCAACAUACGCUCACAGGACACGUCAUUAGAUGCACCUGCAAAAGCUAGCCGUCCAGCGCUGAGAGCUGUAUCCAACAUUCCGCCGUGGUGUCGUUUUGAUUGCAAGGUGGACUGAUGAAGGUCAGCGUGAGAAAUUUUGGUCGGAGCUUUUUAUGUCACCCUAACACGCAUCAGUGUUUCCCAUACGUUCAUUUAUUUAUGGAUACACAUGCAUUUGGACCGCCACACAUAGAUUUGGCACUACCUUUUUUUUUUUUUAAAGAUUUGGCGCUACCUGUCCACCUUUACUCAUAAACACAUUAUAAUGGGACUGUCUGUGUAGCCUGUUGUUACAACUUCGUAAUAAAUACUAAUAAAUUUGGUCUGCCACACAUAAAUUUGGCACUACCUUUUUUUUUUUUAAAGAUUUGGCGCUACCUGUUCACCCAUACUCAUAAACACAUGCGUGUACACACUUGCACACACAUAGUUCAGGUCCAAAUGGGAAAAUGUUUUUUUGUGUUGUUUAUGUUGGUAUAGUUGUUUAGAUAUUUGUGUCAAAGUGAAAGUUAUGCUUGAACUGUAUCUUAUAUACAAAAAAGCUGUUUGUUUUUUUUUAGUUGGGAACUGAUGUUUUCCUGAAACGUACCUAUGUUCUACUGCUGAUUACUAAAGAACAGAAAAAGAAAGAGCAGCACGGGUGAUGGACCCAGAGAAGGAGAGCUGGAGGACCUGCAUGAAGAUGAAGCCUCCUCUUGAGUCUUAAAGACGCUUGUGGUUUUUCCCUUAAACUUCCUUCUCCUGUCUUGUGCAUCAACCACAACUCUUCAUGUUCUAGACUGCUGAGAGCCUCCACAAUUUGACGUGAUUGAAUAUGCUGCUUUUUAUACUCAGGCUUGCUUUCUUUGCACUUCCUGUUUGCACCCCUCCUUUUUUUAAUCCUGUUUUGUGGAAGAGGAGGACAUGAGUGAGUUUUUUAACUUUGACACUAUAUAUGGUCUUAAAGUGAUACGGGGCUUUAAUGCUGUACAUACACGUCACGACUCGUCAAUCAUAUUUUCUUUUUUAUUUCCUGCACUACAUCCGUUGUCCUGUGGCUGUGUGGGAGCUCAUGACGCCUUUUAUGAAGACGUCCCCACAGAGCGUGACUUACAUAGAGCAACUUCAACGUGCUCCACUGUUUUUCGCAUACAGUACUGUCAUUUCAGUGGUCGCUUUUGUGAAACCUCUUAAAAUGGAGAAGCUGAGAAGUCUAUACAGUGUUCCCUCGUUUAUCACAGGGGAUAGGUUCCCAAAAUAGCCCGCAAUAAGUGAAAUCCGUGAAGCAGCCGACUAUAUAUUUUUUUACAGUUGUUAUAUGUGCAUGUUUAUGUUUUGAGGCUGGAAAACCCCUCAACAUACACUUGUCUCACACAGGCAGGAACAUUUUCUCACAUUUCUCUCUUGUUUAAACACUCUUUAAACACAAAAACUUACCACUUCCACACGGAAUGGGAGAAGAACAUGUCGGACAUGUGCCGCACAGUGGCCGAGUGGUUAGCAUGUUGGCCGCACAGUUGGGAAGACCUGAGUGUGACUGGUUGUUUGUUUAUAUGUGCCCUGCCAUUGGCUGGCCACCAGUAUAGGGUGUACCCCGCCUCUUUCACCCAAAGUCAGCUGGGAUAGGCUCCAGCAUACCCCCGCUACCCUAAUGAGGAUAAGUGGCAUAGAAAAUGGAUGAAUGGAUGUUGGACAUGCCAUGGCUGACUUCAUGCCAUGUAAAAGUAAUGGCACGUAAGGUAAUGUCAGCAUUUUGUGUCAUUACUGCCACCUAGUGACCACAAUACCGCAUAUCACUUGUAUUUCAGUAUGUUUUGACCAAUAAUAGACCACGAAACCGCCGUCAUGUCUGGAAAAACCGAGCGAUAAUCAAACCGUGAUAUUACGAGGGACGACUGUGUAGUAUUUCAGCAGAUCCCCUCUUCAAGGUCAUCACAACCGAGUGACGGGUCAGAGUGUUGAUCAUAUUGAGCUUUGUCCAGAUUUGAUCCGGUGCAUGCUGCAUUGCGUCAAGUGAUACCAAGCAUCAGCAUCAAACAGCGUUGAUUUCCGAGAGAAACUCAAUGAAGGGCUUUUUUUGCACUCUUAAGAAGUUGGUCUGCUGCAUUUUGUGUGCACAACAUUGUGGCACUCGUGCUUGUCCAUCGCGCCAUUGUGUGGUCCACCUUAAAAGGUCAUUCACUGCUUGCACUUUACAUGACUUGAUUGACUGUAAAUAUGGACAUACCGUACCUGUGUAUGCUACGCUACGCUACGCUACGCUGUACAUGAGCAAGACAUGGAGUGUUUGUGUCUUUAUCUGUACAACACAAUAGACGCUUUCCUCCUGCAUGUCACAGUUGUGCAACCACCAAUAACACAACUUUGUACAAUAAUUAACAAGGUAAGUGCUUUCAAGCGACAGUGCCCUUCCAGAGCUGUUGGAACAGUAAGGCUGAUUCCUUUUGGCUACACUAGAGAAGAGGCACAUUUAUCAGUCCAAAAAACUUUUAUCUCAGCAUUUUUGAGGCGCAUCUUUGUGCUUGUUGGCAAAUUCCAGCCUUCCUAUUCUUCUUGCUAAUGCAUGGUCUGCGUCUUCUGGUGUAGCUAUUUUACUUUAGUUCACGGGAAUAGUAGCUAGUGAUGCCUUCACUCCUGCCGCUGAUGUCGGUCACAGGGGGUUACGUUCUAAAAAAUAUGAUUUAACGAAAGAAAAAAGCGGCAGCAGCAAAAAUGGGACAAUCAGCAAGAAUUUUACAAGAAUAAAGUCAAAAUAUUAAAUGGAAAAAAGUCAUAAGCGCAACAAAGAAUAAAAUUGUAAUUGUUGGAAAGUUAGGAAAAUUAUAACAUGACAAUAAAUUCCAAAUAUUACAAGAAGAAAGUAGAAAUAUUUGGAAAAUUAUAUUUUAAAAAAGCAACAGCAGAAAUGUGAAGAACAGCUGACAUUUUACGAGAAUAAAGUCAAAAUAUUAAAUGAAAAAAGUUGCAUUGGAACAAGAGAAAAUACAAUGUUCCAAUACUUUUGCUCACAUGAAACGUGUGGGUGCUAUCUUCUAAAGUGCCAUCUGUCCAAAGUGUGGCCCGGGUGCCAUUUGCAGCCCGCGGCUGUUGUUUUUUAUUGGCCCGCGACACAUUCUAAAAAUAUAAUUGAACAGGAAAAAUAAAUCAACAACAGCAAAAAUGUUAUAAUGGGAAUAAAGUCAUAACAUUACUAGAACAAAAUUUACAAGAAGAAAGUUCAAAUAGUGUGAAGAUAUAUUUUUUUAAAAACAAUGGCUGAAAUGGAAAAAAACUGCCGUAAUUUUAUGAGAAUAGUCAAACGAUUAAGAGAAAAGUUUUAGUAUUCUAACAAGAAAAAAGUGGCAAUUUUAUGAGAAUAAAUAAAACUUACAAUAAUACUUUGAGGAAAAAUAAUGUCAUUUUAGUAGUAAAAAAAUCCAGAUGUAUUUUAUUGAUUAGGUUGGGGAAAAAGUUAUAUGGGAAUAUAGUCCAAAUAUUACAAAAAGACAAUUUAUGAAGAUUAUUUCAGAAGAAAAAACAGCAAAAAUGUGGCAAAAAAGAGCAAAGUUGAAACUAAGAAUUGGCUUUUUCACCCAUCUUUUUCUUGAAACACGUACAACUUCUUAGCAUAUCUACUACGUGUUUUGCUUUACAAAAUACCAAAGUGGAAAAGUUGCACACUUCAAUUUUCACUAUGCGGCCCCUGCUGGAAAAAGUUUGGACACCCCUGUCCUAAGGUGUGCAUCCGAUCCCGACCCAAAUACCUGGAAAUAAAAGCUAAAAAGCUAAAAGUUGUUGCUCUCUUUUGAUGUCAAACCCAAACGCUUUCAGUCUUCAGCAAGAUGAAUGGCAUUGAUCUCACUGUGCCAACCCCUCUGGAGGGCACUGCAUCAACUCUUUAUUCCUAUGUCCAGCAUGUGUCAGUCAGUCUAUGAGGGGCCAUAUGUGUAAUUAUCGAAACCCCCGUGGGGCUCCAAAAUGCCCCACACGCCGCAUUGAAAGCAAUUCGAGGAAAAGGUGGAACUUCUUGCAUGAUCCAAUUGGAACAACCUGCAUGUCAAAGAACGUUAGGUAGACUAACGGUGUUUUCUGUCUGCAUGAUGAGGCAGAUCUUGACCCGGCAGCAUCUCUUGUCGUCUUAUUAGGUGGAAAUAAUGUCACGUUACUGGCGUUAUUGGCGCGAGGUAUCACGACUCUGUUUAGCCUCGCGAGAGAGAAAAUGGUAGUAGGUGUGCGGGGAAAAGGUGACUAAAUGGGUCCUACUGUAUUUAUGUGUGAGCUGUUGUGUACUUGACUGUCCUGAUGAAGUGUUGACGUUCUGUGUUGUUUUUUUACCCGUCUUAUAUGAAUGAACAGAAGCCUGGCACAUCCUCACUGUAAAUAUGUACAUAUAUACAUGUGUGUGUAUAUAUAUAUAUAUAUGUAAACAUAAAGAUAUUUUUGCAUGCCUUUUGUACACUUUGAUUUGAGAGACAAUAAAAAUGAAACCUUGCAUCUUUUUUAUUCUAUUUU